rnacentral:rRNA from 1 species
AGCGAACGUUAGCGGCGGACCUAACACAUGCAAGUCGAACGCGAAAGGUCUUCGGACUGAGUAGAGUGGCGCACGGGUGCGUAACACGUGGGUAAUCAACCCUUUGGACUGGGACAACCCGGGGAAACUCGGGCUAAUACCGGAUGUGGCGUGGCGGUCCUCGGACUGCUCCGCGAAAGCUCCGCAAGGGGCACCAGAGGACGAGCCCGCGUCCCAUCAGCUAGUUGGUGAGGUAAUGGCUCACCAAGGCGAAGACGGGUAGCUGGUCUGAGAGGAUGAUCAGCCACACUGGAACUGAGACACGGUCCAGACUCCUACGGGAGGCAGCAGUGGGGAAUAUUGCGCAAUGGGCGAAAGCCUGACGGAGCGACGCCGCGUGGAGGAUGAAGGCCUCGGUU